GAUGAACGCUGGCGGCGUGCCUAAUACAUGCAAGUCGAGCGAACAGAUGAGGAGCUUGCUCCUCUGACGUUAGCGGCGGACGGGUGAGUAACACGUGGAUAACCUACCUAUAAGACUGGGAUAACUUCGGGAAACCGGAGCUAAUACCGGAUAAUAUAUUGAACCGCAUGGUUCAAUAGUGAAAGACGGUUUUGCUGUCACUUAUAGAUGGAUCCGCGCCGCAUUAGCUAGUUGGUAAGGUAACGGCUUACCAAGGCAACGAUGGGUAGCCGACCUGAGAGGGUGAUCGGCCACCCUGGAACUGAGACACGGUCCAGACUCCUACGGGAGGCAGCAGUAGGGAAUCUUCCGCAAUGGGCGAAAGCCUGACGGAGCAACGCCGCGUGAGUGAUGAAGGUCUUCGGAUCGUAAAACUCUGUUAGUAGGGAAGAACAAAUGUGUAAGUAACUAUGCACGUCUUGACGGUACCUAAUCAGAAAGCCACGGCUAACUACGUG
rnacentral:rRNA from 1 species